UAAAAAUGAGGGAUUUAAAUUGAUUAAGAUAACAAAAUAAGGAAAUAUAAAAAAUGAAAUAAAAAAAUUGAAAAUGCAAAAAUAAAUUUAAGAAAAUAAAACAAAUGGAUAAAUAAAAUAUUUUUUUAAGCUUAGCCUUAGCCUCGGUGUACUCCAAUCUUGAAUCGAUCCUUGAAAUAGAUUUUGCCUUCUAAGAUAUAAGCUGGUUAUAUCGACCAAGAACGUCCUAAUCACCAACUUUUCCUUAUGUAGUCAAUCCUGGUACGACCUGCAAACUGACUGUUGCCAAAUUUCUAACUACGAUACAUAUGUUCGCAAUUUAAGAUUUCAACAGCCUUACGAUCUGAAAAGCCCAACUCGAAUCAACGACCUCAACCGCGUGGGUCGUUUAAAUCCGAUCUCUAUCUCCCUUAACGGAAUCCAACUGGCUUUUACCACCUAGACAUGCCAAUUUUUUUACGGGAAUUCGAACACAACACAGCCGAUUCGUCUUCCCAACUGUAUGCCAAACAACUCCAACCCAACGUGCACUUUUUGAAACGAAGCUAAAUCAACUUUAAAGGACGAAUUUGUACUAUCCCAUAUAUUGGAGAGAUGGAAAACAUUGCGUUUAGAGGUUUGUUGAGGAGGCUGAUAUCUCACGAUUGUUUUAUUGGAGCAAUUUCUGGGCUAAAGCUAAAAAGGGUUUAGUUAAUCAUAGAAAAAAUCAUGCUUUGAAAAUAGAUUUGAGGAUUUGUUGUUGAUGGAAAUGGGAAGGGCCUUGGAAGACAAUUAAACUGAAAGAUUGAAAGCAAAAAAAUGAAACGAAAUAGUAAUAUGAGGAUGAGGAUGGCACAGGAAAUAGAAGAAAAAAAAGAAUUUAUUAAUUGCCAAGGUAAAAAAGUGUGUUCAAUUGGUUGUAGCCCACUAGGUAUUUAUACACAUUUUUAGUGUUAAAAUUUAGCUAGAUUUUUCCUAAAUUUUAUUGUAAUAGUCCAAUUUUGGCCUGGCUAAAAAACAAAUAACAAUCCGAAUACAACUGACCUAAAGCCCAAAUUACAAUCUAACCCAAUUACAAGGCCCAAUUGGCCUAAGGUAACAGAAGCCUUAAGCAGCAGGUAGCCUCGGCGCCGCACGUCCCCACGUUGCUGCAACCGCCCAUCACCCACGAUCAGCAACUCCGCAUAACGCCGAUUCCACCUGCAAUAAAUCAAAGGGAGGGAUUGAUCAAAGAAAAGAGGAGUGUAAAAAACGAGUGUAAAAGAGACAAAGAUUGUAUUGAAAAGGAAAAAAGAUACUAAAUCAAGGAAUCAAAAGGGAAGUUUUGAAGGUAUUUCGCUUCAUUUUUCAGAGAAAUCUGUGGGAUUUCUAUUUUUUUAUGUAUUUAUUCUCUGUUAUAAAAUAAAAACGAAAGAAAAGGAAAAAUAGAGUUUAUUGAAGGUGAAAGAAUUUUUCCUCUUCUUUUGAUAAUUUUCUGCUUCUAUUCUUUUAUUUAAGAGAAAGGAAGAGACUUUUUUUUAAAACCUUACCUGUAUGUUGCGUUGUCGGAACCUCUAUACUUUCGGCUUCGAAUCAAAAUAGGGUGGGCAAUGGUUGAGUUGAAAGUGGUGUUGCGGGCAUAGGUUUAGUCUGUUGGAGAAAUUAGAAUGGUGGCUGAUAUUAGGGUUAGCAUUGGUUUUAUUUUAAAGUGAAAGAGACGGUGC
rnacentral:lncRNA from 1 species